rnacentral:lncRNA from 1 species
GGACGUAUUCCCCACCACAAUUUCUUUUCCACUUGCAACAACACUUAUCUUCUUCUUUGCCAUUCUCCUAUUUUCCUUCACUUAUUGUUUCCUUCACCAUGAAUCAUCUCUUAUUAUCUCUUUUUUCUCCCUUUGCAAAGCCACUUGUAUUCCACUCACAAUCGUUUGUUCUCAACUACAACAGUGGUCACGAUUUAGGGUCACAAGUAGUCACACCUCAUGC